rnacentral:rRNA from 1 species
AGAUUGAACGCUGGCGGCAUGCCUUACACAUGCAAGUCGAACGGCAGCACGGGAGCAAUCCUGGUGGCGAGUGGCGAACGGGUGAGUAAUAUAUCGGAACGUGCCCAGUUGUGGGGGAUAGCCCGGCGAAAGCCGGAUUAAUACCGCAUACGACCUACGGGUGAAAGCGGGGGAUCGCAAGACCUCGCGCAAUUGGAGCGGCCGAUAUCAGUAUUAGCUAGUUGGUGGGGUAAAAGCUCACCAAGGCGACGAUCUGUAGCUGGUCUGAGAGGACGACCAGCCACACUGGGACUGAGACACGGCCCAGACUCCGUACGGGAGCAGCAGGUGGGGAAUUUUGGACAAUGGGCGCAAGCCUGAUCCAGCCAUGCCGCGUGUGGGAAGAAGGCCGUUCGGUUACGUAAACCUACUUUUAGCG